rnacentral:lncRNA from 1 species
GUCACAUAAGUAUAAGAUACAAGCACAACAGUAUGACAUUCACAUACAUUCACCAUUCACAUUCACAAUUCAUUUCAUCACAAAUAUUCAUAAAUUCAUAUCUAUUAAUUUAAAAUGUUUUCUACCCGGAAACUCAUUUUGAAACAUUAAAAGUCAUUAAAACCAAGAAAACCUUUUCAAAACUGUUUCCCACAUGGAAACUAUUUUCUUUUAAAACACGCUACCACGAGGGGUAGAAAAUAGUUUUCAUCUCACAAGAAAACCAUAAGUUCUUUAUUACAUUCAGAAAAUUUUAUUUAUCCAAAUA